AGCAGCAGCCGCGGGAAUACGUAGGGUGCAAGCGUUAAUCGGAAUUACUGGGCGUAAAGCGUGCGCAGGCGGUUAUAUAAGACAGAUGUGAAAUCCCCGGGCUCAACCUGGGAACUGCAUUUGUGACUGUAUAGCUAGAGUACGGCAGAGGGGGAUGGAAUUCCGCGUGUAGCAGUGAAAUGCGUAGAUAUGCGGAGGAACACCGAUGGCGAAGGCAAUCCCCUGGGCCUGUACUGACGCUCAUGCACGAAAGCGUGGGGAGCAAACAGGAUUAGAUACCCCGGUAGUCCCUGUCUCUUAUAC
rnacentral:rRNA from 1 species